AGUCCAAUAGUUUAACGGUCAUGACGUAUCCUUCACAAUCCGUGGACACAGUCCCGCACGGAUAAGAUCCCGGUUCGAUUCCGGGUUGGACUA